GAGGAAUAUUGGUCAAUGGGCGCAAGCCUGAACCAGCCAUGCCGCGUGCAGGAAGACGGUCCUAUGGAUUGUAAACUGCUUUUAUACAGGAAGAAACAGUCCCUCGUGAGGGAUCUUGACGGUACUGUAAGAAUAAGGAUCGGCUAACUCCGUGCCAGCAGCCGCGGUAAUACGGAGGAUCCAAGCGUUAUCCGGAAUCAUUGGGUUUAAAGGGUCCGUAGGCGGUUUUAUAAGUCAGUGGUGAAAUCUGGUCGCUCAACGAUCAAACGGCCAUUGAUACUGUAGGACUUGAAUAAUUAUGAAGUAACUAGAAUAUGUAGUGUAGCGGUGAAAUGCUUAGAUAUUACAUGGAAUACCAAUUGCGAAGGCAGGUUACUAAUAAUUGAUUGACGCUGAUGGACGAAAGCGUGGGUAGCGAAC
rnacentral:rRNA from 1 species